rnacentral:rRNA from 1 species
UGAGUACGAGAUACUAAGGUAUCGAAGUAGUGUAUGUCAUGCUUCCAAGGAAAGCUCGCACUGUCACGAAUAAAAAAUGCCUGUACCAUAACCGACACAGGUGGGUAGGUAGAGAAUACUAAGGGGCGCGAGAUAACUCUCUCUAAGGAACUCGGCAAAAUAACUCCGUAACUUCGGGAGAAGGAGUGCCUUAUUAUUAUAAGGUUGCAAUGACAAGAUCCAAGCAACUGUUUAUCAAAAACACAGGUCUCCGCUAAGUCGUAAGACGAAGUAUGGGGGCUGACGCCUGCCCAGUGCCAGAAGGUUAAAGAAGUUGGUUAGCGUAAGCGAAGCUAAUAACUGAAGCCCUGGUGAACGGCGGCCGUAACAAUAACGGUCCUAAGGUAGCGAAAUUCCUUGUCGGGUAAGUUCCGACCCGCACGAAAGGCGUAAUGAUUUGGAUACUGUCUCGGAGAGGGGCUCGGUGAAAUAGACUUGUCUGUGAAGAUGCGGACUACCUGCACCUGGACAGAAAGACCCUAUGAAGCUUUACUGUAACUUGAAAUUGAAAUCGGACCUUAUUCGCGCAGUAUAGGUGGGAAGCGUUGAAAAUAUUCUCGCGGGAAUAUUGGAGCUAUCAGUGAGAUACCACUCUUAUAAUGUUAGGUUUCUAACUUUGACCCAUUAUCUGGGCAAGGAACAGUUUCAGGUGGGCAGUUUGACUGGGGCGGUCGCCUCCCAAACGGUAACGGAGGCGUACAAAGGUUUCCUCUGAACGUGUAGAAAUCGUAUCUAGAGUGUAAAGGCAUAAGGAAGCUUGACUGUGAGACCUACAAGUCGAGCAGGGACGAAAGUCGGUCUUAGUGAUCUGACGGUACUGAGUGGAAAGGCCGUCACUCAACGGAUAAAAGUUACUCUAAGGAUAACAGGCUGAUCUCCCCCAAGAGUUCACAUCGACGGGGAGGUUUGGCACCUCGAUGUCGGCUCAUCGCAUCCUGGGGCGGUAGUACGUCCCAAGGGUUGGGCUGUUCGCCCAUGAAAGCGGUACGCGAGCUGGGUUCAGAACGUCGUGAGACAGUUCGGUCCAUAUCCGGUGUAGGCGUUAGAAUAUUGAGAGGAGCCUUCUUUAGUACGAGAGGACCGAGAAGGACAUACCGCUGGUGUACCAGUUAUUGUGCCAACAGUAAACGCUGGGUAGCUAUGUAUGGAGUGGAUAACCGCUGAAAGCAUCUAAGUGGGAAGCCCACCUCAAGAUGAGUAUUCUCAUC